GCCUGGCUGGCUCAGUUGGAAGGGCAUGUGACUCUUGAUCUUGGGGUUGUGAGUUCAAGCCCCACGUUGGGUG
rfam:Felis catus isolate Cinnamon breed Abyssinian chromosome X, whole genome shotgun sequence.